CUGAGGAAACCCGCCGAGGGGGACACAUGACUCACAAAGGGCUGGGGUUGCCCAACACAACGAGGCACGAAAAGACAGCAGGCCUCUGGAGAGAGGAAGGAUGGACAGUGUGGCAGAAACAGUGUGGGGAGGACUUGUGUCCUGGUUCUGAGGCAGAUUUCCUUCUGUAGCUACACUCACACUCUGAGCAGCCACAGGGCCCAAAACUGAACACAGGAUGCGGUGACAAAGAUACGAACCAGGAUUGGCCCCAGUACUGAGCCCUGGGGAACCAGUUUCUACCAGUGGAGGUGACUCCACUGACCCAUCAUCCUUUCA